rnacentral:rRNA from 1 species
AGCGAACGCUGGCGGCAGGCCUAACACAUGCAAGUCGAACGAACUCUUCGGAGUUAGUGGCGGACGGGUGAGUAACACGUGGGAACGUGCCUUUAGGUUCGGAAUAACUCAGGGAAACUUGUGCUAAUACCGAAUGUGCCCUUCGGGGGAAAGGUUUAUCGCCUUUAGAGCGGCCCGCGUCUGAUUAGCUAGUUGGUGAGGUAAAGGCUCACCAAGGCGACGAUCAGUAGCUGGUCGGAGAGGAUGAUCAGCCACAUUGGGACUGAGACACGGCCCAAACUCCUACGGGAGGCAGCAGUGGGGAAUCUUGCGCAAUGGGCGCAAGCCUGAUCCAGCCAUGCCGCGUGAGUGAUGAAGGCCUUAGGGUUGUAAAGCUCUUUCGUCCGGGACGAUAAUGACGGUACCGGAAGAAGAAGCCCCGGCUAACUUCGUGCCAGCCGCCGCCGUAA